AGUUAUUGAUCUACAAGGUGAGUAAGAGUUUAUUGAUAAUAUAUUAAUAAUUCCUCUUACUCACCUUGUAGAUCAAUAA
rnacentral:pre_miRNA from 1 species